UACGUAGGGCGCAAGCGUUAUCCGGAAUUAUUGGGCGUAAAGAGCUCGUAGGCGGUUUGUCGCGUCUUCCGUGAAAGCCCGGGGCUCAACUCCGGAUCUGCGGUGGGUACGGGCAGACUAGAGUGAUGUAGGGGAGACUGGAAUUCCUGGUGUAGCGGUGAAAUGCGCAGAUAUCAGGAGGAACACCGAUGGCGAAGGCAGGUCUCUGGGCAUUAACUGACGCUGAGGAGCGAAAGCAUGGGGAGCGAACAGG
rnacentral:rRNA from 1 species